ACGAAUGGAAGACGAAUUUGGAGCUCCCAACAGGGGAAACUGUGAUCCUUCACAAUCCCAAGCUCAUGAUGCAGUAUCCCAGCAGCUGCAAAGAAUUUCCCCCUUCCCCGAAUGAACAGACUCAACCCAGGACACUAAAGAGAGGAACUGAGAAUAUUCCAGUAGAGAUACCAGAGGGAGAACCAGAGAUAGUAGACCACCUGGU